AUACGUAGGGGGCGAGCGUUGUCCGGAAUGAUUGGGCGUAAAGGGCGCGUAGGCGGCUUUGCAAGUCAGUAGUGGAAGUCCAUUUUUCAAGGAUGGCAGUGCUACAGAAACUGCGGAGCUUGAGUGCAGGAGAGGUUAUCGGAAUUCCCGGUGUAGCGGUGAAAUGCGUAGAGAUCGGGAGGAACCCCGGUGGCGAAGGCGGCUUGCUGGGCUUUUACUGACGCUGAGGCUCGAAAGCGUGGGUAGCAAACAGGAUUAGAUACCCUGGUAGUCCACGCUGUAAACGAUGAUUACUAGGUGUGGGGGGACUGACCCCUUCCGUGCCGCAGUUAACACAAUAAGUAAUCCACCUGGGGAGUACGGCCGCAAGGUUGAAACUCAAAUGAAUUGACGGGG
rnacentral:rRNA from 1 species